rnacentral:lncRNA from 1 species
AUUUUCCUGCCUCAGCCUCCCAAGUAGCUGGGAUUUACAGCUGGAUCUACCAUGAAAGACUUCAGAGUCCAGGAAGAGAGACUGACUGGGCAACAUGUUAUUCAGGAAGUGGUGAAUUAAGUGUGGCAGGAAUACUUUGUAGCGACAGUAAUUUGCUUGUAUGGAAUUUUGCCUGAGAGACCUCACUACAGUUUCUAAUCUUUUGAUGUUAUCAUCCAUCCCUGUCCUUGUCAAAUAGUUUGGAAUAGUGCAGUGGCUCAUGCCUGUAGUCCCAGCUGUUUGGGAAGCAGAGAUGGGAGUAUCUUUUAAGGACAGGAGUUCAAGACCAGUGUGGGCAACAU